rnacentral:rRNA from 1 species
CCUACGGGAGGCAGCAGUAGGGAAUUUUCCACAAUGGGCGAAAGCCUGAUGGAGCAACGCCGCGUGGGUGAAGAAGGUCUUCGGAUCGUAAAACCCUGUUGUUAGAGAAGCAAGUGCGUGAGAGUAACUGUUCACGUUUCGACGGUAUCUAACCAGAACGCCACGGCUAACUACGUGCCAGCAGCCGCGGUAAUACGUAGGUGGCAAGCGUUAUCCGGUUUUGUUGGGCGUAAAGGGAACGCAGGCGGUCUUUUAAGGCUGAUGUGAAAGCCUUCGGCUUAACCGGAGUAGUGCAUUGGAAACUGGGAUACUUGAGUGCAGAAGAGGAGAGUGGAACUCCAUGUGUAGCGGUAAAAUGCGUAGAUAUAUGGAAGAACACCAGUGGCGAAGGCGGCUCUCUGGUCUGUAACUGACGCUGAGGUUCGAAAGCGUGGGUAGCAAACAGGAUUAGAUACCCGGGUAGUC